CCCCGAAAUUUUGAAAUCACCCGGCAAAAUCGAAAAUUUCCCCCAAUCUUCCCCCGCACGGCGCCCCCCUCGUCGUCUCCAGGCAGGCUCCCACCCUUAUCCGCUCCCGCCUCCUUCCCUCGCAAGCCACCGCCAUUCCCAUUCCAAUUCAAAAUCCCCCCCCCCCCCACCAAUUCCCAUCUCACUUAUAAAUCCCCCCUCUCCCCUGUCCCAUCCAUUCCUCAAACCAAAAUCUCCCAAUUCCCCACUCCCAAAGCCCUCCGGUCCGCCAACCCCACAUCCUAAACCACCGAGGCGGCCAGUAGUCUCGUAGCUCCGACGAUGCCGGCCGCGCCGACGCUGGUGCCCGCGUGCGACGCGGAGGAGCCGCUGCUGGCGGAGUCUUCGGACCGCUUCUCCAUGUUCCCGAUCCGUUUCCCGCAGAUCUGGGAGUUCUACAAGAAGGCCGUGGCCUCCUUCUGGACGGCCGAGGAGGUGGACCUCUCCGCUGACGCGCGCCACUGGGACGAGACCCUCUCCCCCGACGAGCGCCACUUCAUCUCCCAUGUGCUCGCCUUCUUCGCCGCCUCCGACGGCAUAGUGCUCGAGAACCUCUCCUCCCGGUUCAUGUCCGACGUCCAAGUCGCCGAGGCUCGGGCCUUCUACGGCUUCCAGAUCGCCAUCGAGAACAUCCACUCCGAGAUGUACUCGCUGCUGCUCGAGACCUACAUCCGCGAUGGCGCCGAGAAGGACCGCCUAUUCCGCGCCAUCGACACCGUCCCUGCCGUGCGCCGCAAGGCCGACUGGGCCAUGCGCUGGAUCGACGGAGGGGAGCGCUUCGCCGAGCGGCUCGUCGCCUUUGCCUGCGUCGAGGGCAUCUUCUUUUCGGGCUCCUUCUGCGCCAUAUUCUGGCUCAAGAAGCGCGGGCUCAUGCCGGGCCUCACCUUCUCCAACGAGCUCAUCUCCCGCGACGAGGGCCUGCACUGCGAUUUCGCCUGCCUCCUCUACGACCUCCUCCGCAGCAAGCUUGACGAGGCGCGCGUCCGCGAGAUCGUAGCCGACGCUGUCGACAUCGAGCGCGAGUUCGUUUGCGACGCGCUCCCCUGCGCGCUCGUGGGCAUGAACGGCGGCCUCAUGAGCCAGUACAUCGAGUUCGUCGCCGACCGCCUGCUCAUGUCUCUCGGGUGCAAUAGGAUGUACAACGUCGCCAAUCCCUUCGAUUGGAUGGAGCUCAUCUCCCUGCAGGGCAAGACCAACUUCUUCGAGAAGCGCGUCGGCGAGUACCAGAAGGCCUCCGUCAUGAACAGCCUCAACGGCGGCAACGACGCCAACCACGUCUUCAGCAUCGACGAGGACUUCUAAGCGCGUAAUCUAUUCAUCCCUGCCCCUGGGAUACCGAUGUCGUUGCAUCGCCGUCUUUGCUCUUAAAAGAAGCUAGUUCUAGUAGAGUUGCUCCUCAAUUGCGCUCAUGGUAGCCGACGGAAUCGUUCUCCGAACCUGCGCGAAUCCCUGGGCGCGGCUAUGGCGUUAGACGAAAUGCAUCUCUGGGGUGGGCGCCAACCGGUGAGCGCAGCCAGGGCGUUCGACGAAAUGCCCAUGGGAACAUGCGCCAACCUGUGGGCGCCAUCAAGGCGUUCGACGAAAUGCAUCCGAGGGCAGGGCGGAGGGGUAAGAUUGUCUAUCAGUUGUCACGGGUUAGGGUUCCAGGGGGCAGCGCGGGACUAGCUCCCGGCGGCGGCUCGCUGCACGCCAGAUUUGCCGGCCUGGCGCCAGUAUUUUUUUACACGCGCGAUCUCGUCUGUUAAUCGCGUUUAAA